rnacentral:misc_RNA from 1 species
GUGACGUCUUCGUCGUCUUCCUCGUCCUCGGCGAUGAAGGUCGAAUCAUCAUCGUCGUCGUCGGCAAGGGUCUCAUCGACUUCGAUAUCGUCCUCGGAUUCCGGCAGCACGGCCUUGACCUUGCCGCUAUUCUCUUCGGCGUCGGCCUCUUCCAGCGAGACCAACUCUUCGGCCUCUGCGGGCUCCGGCACAAUGCUGGCGGCGCUGGCAGCGGCGGCGCGCGCAGCGGCGUCGGCACGCGUGCGUGGCGGAGGCACCGGUGCAAUCGGCACGAUCUCACCAGUGUACGGCGAAAUCACGGGAUUCUUGUUGAGGUCAUAG